UAGGGAAUCUUCGGCAAUGGACGAAAGUCUGACCGAGCAACGCCGCGUGAGUGAAGAAGGUUUUCGGAUCGUAAAACUCUGUUGUUAGAGAAGAACAAGGACGUUAGUAACUGAACGUCCCCUGACGGUAUCUAACCAGAAAGCCACGGCUAACUACGUGCCAGCAGCCGCGGUAAUACGUAGGUGGCAAGCGUUGUCCGGAUUUAUUGGGCGUAAAGCGAGCGCAGGCGGUUUCUUAAGUCUGAUGUGAAAGCCCCCGGCUCAACCGGGGAGGGUCAUUGGAAACUGGGAGACUUGAGUGCAGAAGAGGAGAGUGGAAUUCCAUGUGUAGCGGUGAAAUGCGUAGAUAUAUGGAGGAACAACAGUGGCGAAGGCGGCUCUCUGGUCUGUAACUGACGCUGAGGCUCGAAAGCGUGGGGAGCAAACAGG
rnacentral:rRNA from 2 species